GGUUAACGCUGGCGGCGCGCCUAACCGCAUGCAAGUCGAGCGAGGUCACCAAUCCCGUAAGGGAGCGGUGGUCCUAGCGGCGAACGGGUGAGUAUCACGUGGGCAACCUACCCUCUCGUGGGGGACAACCCCGGGAAACCGGAGCUAAUACCGCAUGAGGUCGCCGGUCGCAUGGCCGGUGAAGAAAGCAGCAAUGCGCGAGAGGACGGGCCCGCGGCCUAUCAGCUAGUCGGUGGGGUAACGGCCUACCGAGGCUUAGACGGGUAGCUGGUCUGAG
rnacentral:rRNA from 1 species